GACGAACGCUGGCGGCGUGCCUAAUACAUGCAAGUAGAACGCUGAAGAGAGGAGCUUGCUCUUCUUGGAUGAGUUGCGAACGGGUGAGUAACGCGUAGGUAACCUGCCUUGUAGCGGGGGAUAACUAUUGGAAACGAUAGCUAAUACCGCAUAACAAUGGAUGACACAUGUCAUUUAUUUGAAAGGGGCAAUUGCUCCACUACAAGAUGGACCUGCGUUGUAUUAGCUAGUAGGUGAGGUAAUGGCUCACCUAGGCGACGAUACAUAGCCGACCUGAGAGGGUGAUCGGCCACACUGGGACUGAGACACGGCCCAGACUCCUACGGGAGGCAGCAGUAGGGAAUCCUCGGCAAUGGGGGCAACCCUCACCGAGCAACGCCGCGUGAGUGAAGAAGGUUUUCGGAUCGUAAAGCUCUGUUGUAAGUCAAGAACGGGUGUGAGAGUGGAAAGUUCACACUGUGACGGUAGCUUACCAGAAAGGGACGGCUAACUACGUG
rnacentral:rRNA from 1 species